rnacentral:rRNA from 1 species
GGUUUUUUUGAUUACAAGGUAUUGAAUAAGGUUUUAAUUGAAUGCUAAAAGAAUGGAAUAUCAAAGAAUAACUUUCUUAAAAUUAAAAAUUGAAAUUUUUUUAAUUUGUGUAAAAACAAUUAUAUAAAUUAAAGACAAGAAGACCCUAAGAAUUUUUAAAAUUUAAAUUAACACAUUUUUGUUUUAAUUAAAUUUUAACUGGGGCGGUUAAAAAAUAUUAAAAACUUUUUAAUUUUGAAAAUGACCCAUUAUUAAUGAAAAUAUGAUAAAAUACUCUAGGGAUAACAGCGUUAUAUUUUUUGAUAGAUCAUAUUGACAAAAAAGUUUGCGACCUCGAUGUUGGAUUAGGAUACUUUUUUAAUGAAGAUAUUAAAAUAAGAAGUUUGUUCAACUUUUAAAUUCCUACAUGAUCUGAUUUUAGACCGAA